rnacentral:rRNA from 1 species
UAACCUGCCCAAGAGAUCGGGAUAACACCUGGAAACAGAUGCUAAUACCGGAUAACAACAGAUGAUGCCUAUCAACUGUUUAAAAGAUGGUUCUGCCAUCACUCUUGGAUGGACCUGCGGUGCAUUAGCUAGUUGGUAGGGUAACGGCCUACCAAGGCGAUGAUGCAUAGCCGAGUUGAGAGACUGAUCGGCCACAUUGGGACUGAGACACGGCCCAAACUCCUACGGGAGGCAGCAGUC